CUCCACACCACGCAUCUGUGUUCGCCCUUGUUUAGCGCUGCCUGAGCAAACUCAAUCACAUUGCUCACUUUGGUGCCGCCUUUCACCUGCGCAAAAGAAAUUGUUACCAACAAGGAUUUGAAAAUGAAAUAUAAUCUUGCCGAAGCCCUUCGGCAACAACCUUGAACCUAUAAUGGCGGAAAAAGGACGCCGGAGGUCCAAUAUCUCGAGAACCAACUUAACAGUCAACCACCACUCGUCGUAUACUGUCCGGAGCAGCUAUUGCCCCCAUCGCAGUCCGUGAAAAUUGAAUAAUUGCUGGGUUUAUGAGCCAGAGGGACAGAAAGGAAAAACCAUUCUGCAAGUGGUGUAAGAAGCGAUGUCACCUACAUCUUUUAGGUGCGUCAUGUGGCUCGAACAAAAAUUACAAAAAUCAGCUAAAGUCGGUAAGUGCUACAUUUUAAAGUCAAUUAGGAAUUGAAGAUCAAAUUCUUAAUUUUCCUAUUUUAGAAACAUAAAAUAAUAAUACAUUUAAAUUUUACCACAUAAUGCAAAAUGUCAAAAAUAGAUAAGAUUAAUUGAAGAGCAUUAUUUUUCAAAAUUGGUAAUCAGAAGAAAGCGAAAAACAUCAUCCUAAGAAGUAAGACCAUGACGGUCUUCGCUUUGACAUAAUUCAUUUUGAAGAGGAGUUCAAGUAAAAGUCAAUAAAAACCAUUUCUGCAGCAAUUAAA